GCCUGACUCAGGAUAAGGGAGGCUGGAGGUGUCGGAAGGAGGGGACAUGAGGCCACCCUGGUUCAGGAAACCCAAGACCCGGGCGCCUCCGCGUGUGAGUAUGACACAUGGAAGUUAUAAAAGGCGGAGACCAUUUGGCUCCCAAAGAACCAGUGGGUUCAGUCAAUUCGGCGGGGAAAUAUAGUCCAACCCGGGAUCCUAUAGACAAAACAAUGAUCUAAGACUGGAUUCCUCCCGCCCCGGAACUGGUGGCUGGGGGGCAGUGUAGACCCUGCCUCGGACGGCCACCACCUCUAAUCGCCCACCCGGACUCGGCUCCCCCCACCCCCCUUCAGGGGGAGAAGAUGGCCAUGAGAAUCGAAUCCGGGCCCCCCCGCAGCACGCGCCUGGGUGCACACGCGGACCAUAAGCCUCUCAUACGCGCAGAGGACAUAAAAACCCUUGUAAAGAAUCACAUAAACCAGCACAAAUU
rnacentral:lncRNA from 1 species